ensembl:lncRNA
GGGGUGGGGCCAGCCACUGAGCAAGGUGAGUCCAGACCUGUGCCAAGAAGGAAAGAGAAACUGAAAUUCCAUCGUGGGGAGAGCCUUGUUUCCGAGAAGGCCCUGUACCUGGAGAAUCUCCAGUCCAGGGCUCCCUGGGGCGGCCUCCAGGCCUAAUCCUGACUGGUCGGAAGGAGUCCUGGCCUGGGACGGCCCCGGGAGAGCGAGCGGCUCAGUUACCACAGAGCGGGCCCUGCAGCCGUUUGAAAAUGUUACGAACCAGUCUUAGCUCUCUGGUGGCCCCACCACAGGAGCAGGCUGGGUGUGGUCCCCACUUCCCUAGGUGUGGCCGGACGCUCUUCCAGGUGACCUCUCAGCCGAGCAUGACGAGGAUGACGGCUGAGGAGACUUCCUGCUUCCCGAGUGGCCUGCACGGCGCCACCUUUCUCCCUGGAGCACCUGCUCCCUGGGUCUGGUGCCGUUGCUAAUCGCACUUUGAAAAGUGCAGAUAACAUGCCGUGUGCCCCUUAUUAUGGAAUAAAUGUUCUUUAUGACAGAAAUAGAAA